CUCUCAGAUCAAUGCCAUCAAGCUGCUCGCAUUCCUAGCUAUCGAAUCAUGCAAUUCUGCACCUCUGCACCUCCCAUAGACCACGUCUACAAUGAACCCGACAAAAUCUCAGUGCGCCACGCCACCUAAAAUGAUGGAAAUUCCCUGUGAGCCAUGAUUUCUCGUGAUGAACCCUUAAGGGUUCACGCGCUGGGAGUGGACCACGUGGAAAACCCACGUGGCCAUGUGAACCAUGCUAUCUAGCCUCGCUCGCAUGCAACUGGGCCCAUUGGGCUGCAUCCACGACU
rnacentral:lncRNA from 1 species